rnacentral:rRNA from 1 species
GAUCGCAUGGCCUUGCGCCGGCGACGGUUCAUUCAAAUUUCUGCCCUAUCAACUUUCGAUUGUAGGGUAUUGGCCUACAAUGGUAUCAACGGGUAACGGGGAAUUAGGGUUCGAUUCCGGAGAGGGAGCCUGAGAAACGGCUACCACAUCCAAGGAAGGCAGCAGGCGCGCAAAUUACCCAAUCCCGACGCGGGGAGGUAGUGACAAUAAAUACUGAUACAGGGCUCUUUUGGGUCUUGUAAUUGGAAUGAGUACAAUUUAAAUCCCUUAACGAGGAACAAUUGGAGGGCAAGUCUGGUGCCAGCAGCCGCGGUAAUUCCAGCUCCAAUAGCGUAUAUUAAAGUUGUUGCAGUUAAAAAGCUCGUAGUUGAACCUUGGGCCUGGCUGGCCGGUCCGCCUCACCGCGUGCACUGGUCCGGCCGGGCCUUUCCUUCUGGAGAGCCGCAUGCCCUUCACUGGGUGUGUCGGGGAACCAGGACUUUUACUUUGAAAAAAUUAGAGUGUUCAAAGCAGGCCUUUGCUCGAAUACAUUAGCAUGGAAUAAUAGAAUAGGACGUGCGGUCCUAUUUUGUUGGUUUCUAGGACCGCCGUAAUGAUUAAUAGGGAUAGUCGGGGGCAUCAGUAUUCAAUUGUCAGAGGUGAAAUUCUUGGAUUUAUUGAAGACUAACUACUGCGAAAGCAUUUGCCAAGGAUGUUUUCAUUAAUCAGUGAACGAAAGUUAGGGGAUCGAAGACGAUCAGAUACCGUCGUAGUCUUAACCGUAAACUAUGCCGACUAGGGAUCGGGCGAUGUUAUUAUUUUGACUCGCUCGGCACCUUACGAGAAAUCAAAGUUUUUGGGUUCUGGGGGGAGUAUGGUCGCAAGGCUGAA